rnacentral:rRNA from 1 species
CCUACGGGAGACAGCAGUGAGGAAUAUUGGUCAAUGGGCGGAAGCCUGAACCAGCCAAGUCGCGUGAGGGAAUAAGGCCCUACGGGUCGUAAACCUCUUUUGCCGGGGAGCAAGGGCGGGGACGUGUCCCGGCGCGGAGAGUACCCGGAGAAAAAGCAUGGGCUAACUCCGUGCCAGCAGCCCGGGUAAUACGGAGGUUGCGAGCGUUAUCCGGAUUUAUUGGGUUUAAGGGGUCCGUAGGCGGGCUGUUAAGUCAGCGGUAAAAUUUCGGGGCUCAACCCCGUCCGGCCGUUGAAACUGGGGGCCUUGAGUGGGCGAGAAGAAGGCGGAAUGCGUGGUGUAGCGGUGAAAUGCAUAGAUAUCACGCAGAAUCCCGAUUGCGAAGGCAGCCUUCCGGCGCCCUACUGACGCUGAGGCACGAAAGUGCGUGGAUCGAACAGGAUUAGAUACCCUUGUAGUC